GGGAACAGGAAGUGUGUCACAGGCCUGUGUCUGCACAAUCUCUCUCAGGCUUCACAGAGCUCUCACAGUCAUCCACCUUCGGAGUCUCUCUUCUCUGUGAACUGGCUGUUCGGUUCGGCAUUUCCCUCUGAGCUUGACACAAUAUCAUGCAAUAAUUACUGAUUAUAGAUAAAGUGAAAACAUUUGAGGGACUUUAUGUGGGUGUGCAGAAUUUACGACCAGUCAACUCAUCGAAUUCUUCUGUGAAGAGACGUUUUACAAUGUCUGCUUUGUUAGAAGAAUUGAUUGUGUGUGCAAGUGCGUAGCUGACGUCAAUGCGUGUUAGAGGGCGGACGCUGAGAAGACAUGCUUUCACACUCUUCAGAGGCGAAAAUCUUGAUGAGUGGCAGAACGUGUGUUCUUUGUAGAGCAGCAUGUUCUCACUGCUCAGGAAUUUGCUGCAACAUUCACCAAUCAUCAUGACAGUCCUCACAAGAAACGUUCAUCACCAUCAUCCAGACCAGCAGAUCUGUGUGUAUCAGUAUCAGGAAGACAAGAUGAUGUCAAGUUGAUUUAGCUGUUUAACAGUAGGGCUGCAAUAGAUCACAUGUUCGCUACCGAUGAGUGUAGCAGGCCGCCGCAGUGACAUAAUCCCCACCUGAUUCAACUCUAUUUCUGAAAAUGAUGUCACCUUCAUGCUCAAGAUUCCUAUACUCUCCUUAUAAGGAGUUUCUUUACAGGGCACAGCUUUGUAAGAGUCAUUCUUACAGUACGAUAAAAAAAAAUCUUAUAAAU